rnacentral:rRNA from 1 species
CCUACGGGAGGCAGCAGUGGGGAAUAUUGCACAAUGGGGGAAACCCUGAUGCAGCGACGCCGCGUGAAGGAAGAAGUCUUUCGGUAUGUAAACUUCUAUCAGCAGGGAAGAAUAUGACGGUACCUGACUAAGAAGCCCCGGCUAACUACGUGCCAGCAGCCGCGGUAAUACGUAGGGGGCAAGCUUUAUCCGGAUUUACUGGGUGUAAAGGGUGCGUAGGCGGUGCAGCAAGUCAGAAGGGAAAGCCCGGGGCUAAACUCUGAGACUGCUUUUGAAAAUGUUAAACUAGAUUGCAGGAGAGGUAAGUGGAAUUCCUAGUGUAGGGGUGAAAUGCGUAGAUAUUAGGAGGAACACCAGUAGCGAAGGUGGCUUACUGGACUGUAAAUGACGCUGAGGCUCGAAAGCGUGGGGAGCAAACAGGAUUAGAUACCCCUGUAGUC